AUCCAUUAAGUUAGCUCAGUGAGUAGAGCAUGAGACUCUUGAUUUCAGGGUUGUGGGUUCAAGCCCCACAUUGGGCA